GAUGAACGCUGGCGGCGUGCCUAAUACAUGCAAGUCGAGCGAACAGAUAAGGAGCUUGCUCCUUUGACGUUAGCGGCGGACGGGUGAGUAACACGUGGGUAACCUACCUAUAAGACUGGGAUAACUUCGGGAAACCGGAGCUAAUACCGGAUAACAUUUGGAACCGCAUGGUUCUAAAGUGAAAGAUGGUUUUGCUAUCACUUAUAGAUGGACCCGCGCCGUAUUAGCUAGUUGGUAAGGUAACGGCUUACCAAGGCGACGAUACGUAGCCGACCUGAGAGGGUGAUCGGCCACACUGGAACUGAGACACGGUCCAGACUCCUACGGGAGGCAGCAGUAGGGAAUCUUCCGCAAAGGGCGAAAGCCUGACGGAGCAACGCCGCGUGAGUGGUGAAGGGUUUCGGCUCGUAAAACUCUGUUAUUAGGGAAGAACAAAUGUGUAAGUAACUGUGCACGUCCUGACGGUACCUAAUCAGAAAGCCACGGCUAACUACGUG
rnacentral:rRNA from 1 species